GCUGGGCGUGGUGGUGCACGCCUGUAAUCCCAGCUACUUGGGAAGCUGAGGCAGAAGAAUCGCUUGAACCUGCGAAGUGGAGGUUGCAGUGAGCCGAGAUUGCACCACUGCACUCCAGCCUGGGUGACAGAGCGGGAUUCUGUCUCAA
rnacentral:SRP_RNA from 1 species